UACGAGGGGGGCUAGCGUUGUUCGGAAUUACUGGGCGUAAAGCGAACGUAGGCGGUGUUCCAUGUCAGAGGUGAAAGCCUGGGGCUCAACUCCAGAAUUGCCUUUGAAACGGGGACGCUUGAGUCCGAGAGAGGAUGGCGGAAUUCCUAGUGUAGAGGUGAAAUUCGUAGAUAUUAGGAAGAACACCGGUGGCGAAGGCGGCCAUCUGGCUCGGUACUGACGCUCAGGUUCGAAAGCGUGGGGAGCAAACAGG
rnacentral:rRNA from 1 species